rnacentral:rRNA from 1 species
UGGGGAAUUUUGCACAAUGGGGGAAACCCUGAUGCAGCGACGCCGCGUGAUUUAGAAGGCCUUCGGGUUGUAAAAAUCUUUUCUAUGGGAAGAAAAUGACAGUACCAUAGGAAUAAGGACCGGCUAAUUACGUGCCAGCAGCCGCGGUAAUACGUAAGGUCCGAGCGUUGUCCGGAAUCAUUGGGCGUAAAGGGUACGUAGGCGGGUAAGCAAGUUAGAAGUGAAAUCCUAUAGCUCAACUAUAGUAAGCUAUUAAAACUGCUCAUCUUGAGGUAUGGAAGGGAGAGUGGAAUUCCUAGUGUAGCGGUGAAAUGCGCAGAUAUUAGGGGGAAUAACGGUGGCGAAGGGGACUUUCUGGCCAUAACCUGACGCUGAGGGACGAAAGCGUGGGUAGCAAACA